AAGGACACCAGCCGAUCGGCCUACACCCGGAGUCCCGCUGCCGUCCUGUGAAGCGAGUGAGCUCACGCAUCUCCAGAAGUCUUGCGUCUCCAGAAGUCUAGCGUCAUUCUUCACGCGCCGGCGCGUGCACCUUUUUUUUUGGGUGAUUUCUCCGAUUGUGCCUCUUGCCGACAACCUUCCCUGUCCGGCGUGCCUCUGACCAACGUGUUUUCACACCUGGUUUGCACAUUUUUUUUUUUGUACCUUCCGUUGCCCAGUUUCUUACUUUCUGUCUUAGCACCUAUUUCUUUAAUUGAAAAAUAACUGAUGAAAAGAAGAAAAACUUUGAAACAAAGGCUGGAUUUGUUGGUGAUAAUUCUUCUUCACAAAUUAGUCCUGUAAAGUUGGAUGAAACUAAUUGUUUGGCAUGGUUUAGAUCUUGUUUACUAUUUAUUCACGCUAAAGGACUGCAGGGGUAUAUCACUGG
rnacentral:misc_RNA from 1 species